rnacentral:rRNA from 1 species
CCUGUCCAACGUUAAUCGGGGCAGGGUGAGUCGACCCCUAAGGCGAGGCCGAAAGGCGUAGUCGAUGGGAAACGGGUUAAUAUUCCCGUACUUGGUGUUACUGCGAAGGGGGGACGGAGAAGGCUAUGUUGGCCGGGCGACGGUUGUCCCGGUUUAAGCGUGUAGGUGUGUGUUCCAGGUAAAUCCGGUUCACUUUAACACUGAGGCGUGACGACGAGGCACUACGGUGCUGAAGCAACAAAUGCCCUGCUUCCAGGAAAAGCCUCUAAGCAUCAGGUAACAUCAAAUCGUACCCCAAACCGACACAGGUGGUCAGGUAGAGAAUACCAAGGCGCUUGAGAGAACUCGGGUGAAGGAACUAGGCAAAAUGGUGCCGUAACUUCGGGAGAAGGCACGCUGACACGUAGGUGAAGUGAUUUACUCAUGGAGCUGAAGUCAGUCGAAGAUACCAGCUGGCUGCAACUGUUUAUUAAAAACACAGCACUGUGCAAACACGAAAGUGGACGUAUACGGUGUGACGCCUGCCCGGUGCCGGAAGGUUAAUUGAUGGGGUCAGCGCAAGCGAAGCUCCUGAUCGAAGCCCCGGUAAACGGCGGCCGUAACUAUAACGGUCCUAAGGUAGCGAAAUUCCUUGUCGGGUAAGUUCCGACCUGCACGAAUGGCGUAAUGAUGGCCAGGCUGUCUCCACCCGAGACUCAGUGAAAUUGAACUCGCUGUGAAGAUGCAGUGUACCCGCGGCAAGACGGAAAGACCCCGUGAACCUUUACUAUAGCUUGACACUGAACAUUGAGCCUUGAUGUGUAGGAUAGGUGGGAGGCUUUGAAGUGUGGACGCCAGUCUGCAUGGAGCCGACCUUGAAAUACCACCCUUUAAUGUUUGAUGUUCUAACGUGGACCCGUUACCCGGGUUGCGGACAGUGUCUGGUGGGUAGUUUGACUGGGGCGGUCUCCUCCUAAAGAGUAACGGAGGAGCACGAAGGUUGGCUAAUCCUGGUCGGACAUCAGGAGGUUAGUGCAAUGGCAUAAGCCAGCUUGACUGCGAGCGUGACGGCGCGAGCAGGUGCGAAAGCAGGUCAUAGUGAUCCGGUGGUUCUGAAUGGAAGGGCCAUCGCUCAACGGAUAAAAGGUACUCCGGGGAUAACAGGCUGAUACCGCCCAAGAGUUCAUAUCGACGGCGGUGUUUGGCACCUCGAUGUCGGCUCAUCACAUCCUGGGGCUGAAGUAGGUCCCAAGGGUAUGGCUGUUCGCCAUUUAAAGUGGUACGCGAGCUGGGUUUAGAACGUCGUGAGACAGUUCGGUCCCUAUCUGCCGUGGGCGCUGGAGAACUGAGGGGGGCUGCUCCUAGUACGAGAGGACCGGAGUGGACGCAUCACUGGUGUUCGGGUUGUCAUGCCAAUGGCACUGCCCGGUAGCUAAAUGCGGAAGAGAUAAGUGCUGAAAGCAUCUAAGCACGAAACUUGCCCCGAGAUGAGUUCUCCCUGAGACUUUAGGUCUCCUGAAGGAACGUUGAAGACGACGACGUUGAUAGGCCGGGUGUGUA